CGUCGACGUUUGACAAACGUUAAAUAAAGAUAUUAACGGAAUAUGGCAGCAUUUCCGUCCUGUUUCGCGAUGUCCGUUUCAGAGUUGUCCUGCUCUGCCCGGUGAGGUUAUUCAAAGCCAAGGAGUACAAAUAUUGCAAUCUAUUCAGUGUCUGUCACCUUGGAGUCUUUGAGGUUCUGGUUGACCGUAAUCUGGAGGAUUGGCAUUGGGAUUGUAACCCAGCCUGCGGAGGAUUGGUGCGAUGUUCUCCAUGUCUUCCUGGACAUCUCCUGGGAUAUGACCCACCCAGCGCGUGAGAGCCUCCAGGUUAACGGGUUUAAUCACCUGAUCCGUAGAACGUUCGGUUCUUGAAACAAAGCAGAAUAGUGAGAAUAAAUACUAUACCCAAAACAUU